UACGUAGGGGGGCUAGCGUUGUCCGGAAUCAUUGGGCGUAAAGGGCGCGUAGGCGGACUCUUAAGUCGGGGGUGAAAGCCCAGGGCUCAACCCCGGAACUGCACCCGAUACUGCCUCGCUCGAGUCCCGGAGAGGAUGGCGGAAUUUCCGGUGUAGAGGUGAAAUUCGUAGAUAUCGGAAGGAACACCAGCGGCGAAGGCGGCCAUCUGGACGGUGACUGACGCUCAGACGCGAAAGCGUGGGGAGCAAACAGG
rnacentral:rRNA from 1 species